rnacentral:rRNA from 1 species
UACAGAGGUGGCAAGCGUUGUUCGGAAUUACUGGGCGUAAAGGGCGCGUAGGCGGCCAUCUAAGUCAGACGUGAAAUCCCCCGGCUUAACCUGGGAACUGCGUCUGAUACUGGAAGGCUCGAGUUUGGGGGAGGGAUGUGGAAUUCCAGGUGUAGCGGUGAAAUGCGCAGAGAUCGGGAGGAACACCCGUAGCGAAGGCGGCACUCUGGGCCGGUACUGACGCUGAGGAGCGAAAGCGUGGGGAGCGAACAGG